AUUGAACGCUGGCGGCAUGCCUUACACAUGCAAGUCGAACGGUAACAGGUCUUCGGAUGCUGACGAGUGGCGAACGGGUGAGUAAUACAUCGGAACGUGCCUAGUAGUGGGGGAUAACUACUCGAAAGAGUGGCUAAUACCGCAUGAGAUCUACGGAUGAAAGCAGGGGAUCGCAAGACCUUGUGCUACUAGAGCGGCCGAUGGCAGAUUAGGUAGUUGGUGGGAUAAAAGCUUACCAAGCCGACGAUCUGUAGCUGGUCUGAGAGGACGAUCGGCCACACUGGGACUGAGGCACGGCCCAGACUCCUACGGGAGGCAGCAGUGGGGAAUUUUGGACAAUGGGCGAAAGCCUGAUCCAGCAAUGCCGCGUGCAGGAUGAAGGCCUUCGGGUUGUAAACUGCUUUUGUACGGAACGAAAAGCCCCGGGUUUAUACCCUGGGGUCAUGACGGUACCGUAAGAAUAAGCACCGGCUAACUACGUGCCAGCCGCCGCGGUAA
rnacentral:rRNA from 1 species